GGAGCCCAGGAGGCGGGGCGCCUGUGGGAGUCGUGGAGGGAACUUUCCCAGGCCCCGAGGCGGAUCGGGUAUUGAGUCCAUGGAGCGAGCUGAGAGCUAGAGUACAGAACCUGCUAAGGCCAUCAAACCUAUCGAUCGGAAGUCAGUCCAUCAGAUUUGCUCUGGGCCGGUGGUACUGAGUCUAAGCACUGCGGUGAAGGAGUUAGUAGAAAACAGUCUGGAUGCUGGUGCCACCAAUAUUGAUCUAAAGCUUAAGGACUAUGGAGUGGAUCUCAUUGAAGUUUCAGACAAUGGAUGUGGGGUAGAAGAAGAAAACUUUGAAGGCUUAACGAUGUCACCAUUUCUACCUGCCACGCAUCGGCGAAGGUUGGGACUCGACUGGUGUUUGAUCACGAUGGGAAAAUCAUCCAGAAAACCCCCUACCCCCACCCCAGAGGGACCACAGUCAGCGUGAAGCAGUUAUUUUCUACACUACCUGUGCACCAUAAGGAAUUUCAAAGGAAUAUUAAGAAGACGUGCCUGUUUCCCCUUCGCCUUCUGCCGUGAUUGUCAGUUUCCUGAGGCCUCCCCAGCCAUGCUUCCUGUACAGCCUGCAGAACUGCCCCUCCAGACAUGUCCAUCUGCCUGCUGUGUUGACUUUUCCCUUUGGAGUCUUGAGGCAGCUACAAGCUUACUGACCAGAAAUGAACUCAAGCUCUCCCCGAAGCCUGGUCCUCUUCCAGGAUCAGCCAGCCUGGAAGAUGGCACUGUCAUCCACCCUGUUCUCAGGCCUGCCACCCAGGAGUCAACCUUAGCCCCAUCUAAUUGUCAGAGGCAUCUGAACCACAGCAACUCCAUCUUGAGUAGGGGAUGGGUAAAAUGAGGCUGAGACCUGCUGGGCUGCAUUCCCAGACAGCCAAGGCAUUAGCCACAGGAUAAGAUAGGCGGUCGGUACAAGACACAGGUCAUAAAGACCUUGCUGAUAAAACAGUUGGCAGUAAAGAAGCCAGCCAAAACCCACUAAAACCAAGAUGGCAACGAGAGUGACCUCUGGUCGUCCUCACUGCUACCCUCCCACCAGCACCAUGACAGUUUACAAAUGCCAUGGCAAUGUCAGAAAGUUACCCUAUAGGGUCUAAAAAGGGGAGGCAUGAAUAAUCUACCCCUUGUUUAGCAUAUCAUCAAGAAAUAACCAUAAAAAUAGGCAACCAGCAGCCCUCAGGGAUGCUCUGUCUAUGGAGUAGCCAUUCUUUUGUUCCUUUACUCUCUUAAUAAACUUGUUUUCACUUUACUCUA
ensembl:lncRNA PMS2P4 PMS1 homolog 2, mismatch repair system component pseudogene 4